AAACUGAAUCGCAGCAAAAAAACUCCUAAAAAUUAAAAUUCCUAAAAAGCUCAAUAGUUUUGGCGAUAAUAUCGUAAUAAAGUAAAUCAAAAGGCAACAAAAAAGGUUUUUUGUGAUUUUUCGAUUAAAUCAUUUUUUCUGGUAGAAAACGUCGUCCGUGUUUUUAUAAAAUAAUGAAAUCGCGAAAUUAUACAUUUUCCCACGUUUUUUUCAUUCUUUAGUGCUUUUAUUUAAAAAAAGGUUGUCGAAAAUCAGAAAAUGACUUUUUUAAAGUACUGUCUAGACAAAUUGAGCUUUCAGGAAGUUGCCACG